rnacentral:rRNA from 1 species
UACGGGGGGAGCAAGCGUUGUUCGGAUUUACUGGGCGUAAAGGGCGGGUAGGCGGCCACCGCAAGUCAGUUGUGAAAUCUCUGGGCUUAACCCAGAAAGGUCAACUGAUACUGCGGGGCUAGAGUGCAGAAGGGGCAACUGGAAUUCUCGGUGUAGCGGUGAAAUGCGUAGAUAUCGAGAGGAACACCUGCGGCGAAGGCGGGUUGCUGGGCUGACACUGACGCUGAGGCACGAAAGCUAGGGGAGCAAACAGG